CUAUGGGUUGUAAAAUGAUGUUGUACGGGAAUAAACCCAGAUACGUGUAUCUGGAUGAAUGUGCCGUAGGAAUAAGGAUCGGGGAACUCCGUGCCAGCAGCCGCGGUAAUACGGAGGAUCCAAGCGUUAUCCGGAUUCAUUGGGUUUAAAGGGUGCGUAGGUGGAUUUGUAAGUCAGUGGUGAAAUCCUGCAGCUUAACUGUAGAACUGCCAUUGAUACUGCAAGUUUUGAGUGUGUUUGAAGUGGGCGGAAUGUGUCAUGUAGCGGUGAAAUGCAUAGAUAUGACACAGAACACCGAUUGCGUAGGCAGCUCACUAAGCCACAACUGACACUGAGGCACGACAGCGUGGGGAUCAAACAGGAUUAGAUACCCUGGUAGUCCACGCCGUAAACUAUGAUUACUCGAUGUUGGCGAUACACAGUCAGCGUUUAAGCUAAAGCGAUAAGUAUCC
rnacentral:rRNA from 1 species